UCGUCAGCUCGUGUCGUGAGAUGUUGAGUUAAGUCCCGCAACGAGCGCGACCCCUAUUGUAAGGUGCUGCCAUUAAGUUGAGCACUGUAGCGAGACUGCCUGGGUUAACCAGGAGGAAGAUGGGGAUGACGUCAAAUCAUCAUGCCCCUUAUGUGUAGGGCUACGCACGUGCUACAAUGGCAAGUACAGAGAGACGCAAACCCGUGAGGUCGAGCAAAUCCCUUAAAACUUGUCCCAGUUCGGAUUGUAGGCUGAAACUCGCCUACAUGAAGCCGGAGUUGCUAGUAAUAGCGAAUCAGAAUGUCGCGGUGAAUACGUUCCCGGGUCUUGUACACGCCGCCCGUCACACCAUGAGAGUUGGCAAUACCCAACGUCCGUGAGCUAACCGCAAGGAGGCAGCGGCCUAAGGUAGGGUCAGCGAUUGGGGGAAGUCGUAACACGGUAACCGUA
rnacentral:rRNA from 1 species